rnacentral:lncRNA from 1 species
AAAAAAAAGAAGACCCAUUUAUCAACUUAAUUUAAAUCCACAAGCAAUUUUUUUUCGUUCUAAAUUCCUCUAUCCAAAUAAUGUUGGUGUUGACCCAGCAUUAAACAAAUUAAGAAAAAGAGAUGAAGAAAAAUUAAAUAAGUUGAGAUGUUUUUUUGGUCGAAGAUAAAAAUCCUUGUAUUAAUAAAGUGGGCUAAGCGACAAAGUAGAAAGAUUAAAGGCUCAAACGAAAAAAUUAGCCUAAGACCCCAGGUAACCCUAGUAGAGACCAGAAAUUGUGCCAGCGUGAUCUGGGAACGCAAGUAUCACUAGCCUUCAGAAACACCCAGCAAAGCAUAAGUUUCUCUGAAACGGACCCAAGAAUAACAAGGCAUAGCAUGCAAACCUAGAUUUGUUCAUAAUGGCACCCACAGCCAAGGAAAGCAGAAGGGAUCAAAUCUUUUUAAAAAAGAGGGCACUCCAUACCAGAGUCGAAACAAGAGACAUACUGAAAAAUAGAAGGGCACUGCCUAACCAUAACGUCUUGAAGGUCAGCACUUGAACAAAAAGAAGAAACGGGUAAAGACCUCAGAGCUGCUAUGAUUCAAGCACCAAAUAUUGUACCUCCUCAAAACAGAAAAACCUGAAAGACCAAUAAGCAGGAGGAGAAAAAGUGAUAUAGACCGAUGAAGGCAAACUGCAAAAGAUAAGGUGCAAUAGCAGGAGAAUUCGCCGUUUCGGCUACCACACUAGUGUAUUCCAUUGCCCUCUUUUCAUGUAGAUUAGUAGCUAUAAAAAACGUUUUUUAUCCGAUAACUAUAUAAAAACAUCAAUAAAAAAAAAUAAUUUUAAAAAAAUACGGAUUUAAAAGAAAAUUUACCUGAAAAAUGCUAAAUCUGCAAACCCAAAAUAAAAAGAAAAUAAAACAAAGAAAAAAACCCAAUCUACAGGUAAUCAGAUACAACUAUUAAAAUAUUUAUUUUUAAAGAAAUGUAGAAUGCAAAUAUUAAUUUCCACAUAAUUAAAUGGUAUAUUGUUUAAGAUAUUUUAAUAAUUUCUCACAAAAUAAGAUGAAAAAUCUUUAAUUUUAUCUAUAAUAUAUAGAAUGGGCAAAAUUACCCAUGGUUUAUUUAUUAAUUAAAAAUCUACAUUUAUUUUGAUUGGCUAUAAAAUAAUUUAAUAAUUUAUUAUCUUUUAAAACAUUUAAAUUGUAUUGAUUAAUUAAUUUAGUAGUUAAAUAGUUUUUUUAAAUACUUAAGUUCUAUUUCAUAAAAUUUUUAUUAUAAUUUAAAAAACAUAUGAAAAAAUAAAUUAUUGAAUAAUUUGUAAAAUUUUUAAAAAAUAGCUAGAAUAAAAAUUUAUAUUUAAAAGUCAUACUGAAGUAAUAUUAUUAGUGUCAAUUUGAAUUGUCACUAAAAAUAAACUUAAAAUUCUUAAUCCUAUUUAAAAAUUUUACUUCCACUAAAUUAAUUCAAAAAAUUUAUAAAAAAAUAAUUAAGGAAACUCAAACAUUCUAAUUUUUUUAAUAAAAAGAAUUAUUAAGAAAAUUAACUAAUAUUUAGACAUUUAUAUUUUAAGAACAAAAUUGUAAAAAAAUAAAAUUAAUAUAAAGUUCAAACUAUAAUAAAAAAAAUAAUGUAAAGAGAUAUUAGGAUCAGUAUUAGUUUAUAAUGUAAUUUAAACUAAAAACUUGAUAUUUAUAAUUUUGACAUAAUUCAAAAAAUACUUUUUCAUUUCUUUAAAAAAAAUUUUCUCCAAACCUGUCUGGGCUCCAUUGGUAGAUUGGGCCAAGGAAGUGGAUAGAUUGGGAGGGAAAUCUUCAAAAUCGUAAAUUCCAUGCAGAUGCAUUCCAUCAUCUCU